GGCCUCAUCGUCUAGCCUGGCCUAGGACGCCUGGUUCUCAACCAGGUAACACGGGUUCGAAUCCCGUUGGGGCUA
rnacentral:tRNA from 1 species